rnacentral:rRNA from 1 species
AUUGAACGCUGGCGGCAUGCUUUACACAUGCAAGUCGAACGGCAGCACGGGUGCUUGCACCUGGUGGCGAGUGGCGGACGGGUGAGUAAUGCAUCGGAACGUGUCCUAAAGUGGGGGAUAACGCAUCGAAAGAUGUGCUAAUACCGCAUAUUCUCUGAGGAGGAAAGUAGGGGAUCGAAAGACCUUAUGCUUUUGGAGCGGCCGAUGUCUGAUUAGCUAGUUGGUAAGGUAAUGGCUUACCAAGGCGACGAUCAGUAGUUGGUCUGAGAGGACGACCAGCCACACUGGGACUGAGACACGGCCCAGACUCCUACGGGAGGCAGCAGUGGGGAAUUUUGGACAAUGGGCGCAAGCCUGAUCCAGCAAUGCCGCGUGAGUGAAGAAGGCCUUCGGUGUAAGACUCUUCAGUUGAAAGAAAGAACGUAGACUAAUAAUACAUGGUUCAUGACGGUAGUCAACAGAAGAAGACACCGGCUAACUACGUACG